UUAAGCGACUAAGCGUACACGGUGGAUGCCCUGGCAGUCAGAGGCGAUGAAGGACGUGCUAAUCUGCGAAAAGCGUCGGUAAGGUGAUAUGAACCGUUAUAACCGGCGAUGUCCGAAUGGGGAAACCCAGUGUGAUUCGUCACACUAUCGUUAACUGAAUACAUAGGUUAACGAGGCGAACCGGGGGAACUGAAACAUCUAAGUACCCCGAGGAAAAGAAAUCAACCGAGAUUCCCCCAGUAGCGGCGAGCGAACGGGGAGCAGCCCAGAGUCUGAAUCAGCUUGUGUGUUAGUGGAACGGUCUGGAAAGUCCGACGGUACAGGGUGAUAGUCCCGUACACCAAAAUGCACAGGUUGUGAACUCGAAGAGUAGGGCGGGACACGUGGUAUCCUGUCUGAAUAUGGGGGGACCAUCCUCCAAGGCUAAAUACUCCUGACUGACCGAUAGUGAACCAGUACCGUGAGGGAAAGGCGAAAAGAACCCCGGCGAGGGGAGUGAAAAAGAACCUGAAACCGUGUACGUACAAGCAGUGGGAGCACCUUCGGGUGUGACUGCGUACCUUUUGUAUAAUGGGUCAGCGACUUAUAUUCUGUAGCAAGGUUAACCGUAUAGGGGAGCCGCAGGGAAACCGAGUCUUAACUGGGCGUUAAGUUGCAGGGUAUAGACCCGAAACCCGGUGAUCUAGCCAUGGGCAGGUUGAAGGUUGGGUAACACUAACUGGAGGACCGAACCGACUAAUGUUGAAAAAUUAGCGGAUGACUUGUGGCUGGGGGUGAAAGGCCAAUCAAACCGGGAGAUAGCUGGUUCUCCCCGAAAGCUAUUUAGGUAGCGCCUCGUGAACUCAUCUUCGGGGGUAGAGCACUGUUUCGGCUAGGGGGUCAUCCCGACUUACCAACCCGAUGCAAACUACGAAUACCGAAGAAUGUUAUCACGGGAGACACACGGCGGGUGCUAACGUCCGUCGUGAAGAGGGAAACAACCCAGACCGCCAGCUAAGGUCCCAAAGUCAUGGUUAAGUGGGAAACGAUGUGGGAAGGCACAGACAGCCAGGAUGUUGGCUUAGAAGCAGCCAUCAUUUAAAGAAAGCGUAAUAGCUCACUGGUCGAGUCGGCCUGCGCGGAAGAUGUAACGGGGCUAAACCAUGCACCGAAGCUGCGGCAGCGACACUAUGUGUUGUUGGGUAGGGGAGCGUUCUGUAAGCCUGCGAAGGUGACCUGUGAGGGUUGCUGGAGGUAUCAGAAGUGCGAAUGCUGACAUAAGUAACGAUAAAGCGGGUGAAAAGCCCGCUCGCCGGAAGACCAAGGGUUCCUGUCCAACGUUAAUCGGGGCAGGGUGAGUCGACCCCUAAGGCGAGGCCGAAAGGCGUAGUCGAUGGGAAACAGGUUAAUAUUCCUGUACUUGGUGUUACUGCGAAGGGGGGACGGAGAAGGCUAUGUUAGCCGGGCGACGGUUGUCCCGGUUUAAGCAUGUAGGCUGGUUAUCCAGGCAAAUCCGGAUAAUCAAGGCUGAGGUGUGAUGACGAGGCACUACGGUGCUGAAGUAACAAAUGCCCUGCUUCCAGGAAAAGCCUCUAAGCAUCAGGUAACAUCAAAUCGUACCCCAAACCGACACAGGUGGUCAGGUAGAGAAUACCAAGGCGCUUGAGAGAACUCGGGUGAAGGAACUAGGCAAAAUGGUGCCGUAACUUCGGGAGAAGGCACGCUGGUGUGUAGGUGAAGUCCCUGCGGAUGGAGCUGAGACCAGUCGAAGAUACCAGCUGGCUGCAACUGUUUAUUAAAAACACAGCACUGUGCAAACACGAAAGUGGACGUAUACGGUGUGACGCCUGCCCGGUGCCGGAAGGUUAAUUGAUGGGGUUAUCCGUAAGGAGAAGCUCUUGAUCGAAGCCCCGGUAAACGGCGGCCGUAACUAUAACGGUCCUAAGGUAGCGAAAUUCCUUGUCGGGUAAGUUCCGACCUGCACGAAUGGCGUAAUGAUGGCCAGGCUGUCUCCACCCGAGACUCAGUGAAAUUGAACUCGCUGUGAAGAUGCAGUGUACCCGCGGCAAGACGGAAAGACCCCGUGAACCUUUACUAUAGCUUGACACUGAACAUUGAGCCUUGAUGUGUAGGAUAGGUGGGAGGCUUUGAAGCGUGGACGCCAGUCUGCGUGGAGCCAACCUUGAAAUACCACCCUUUAAUGUUUGAUGUUCUAACGUUGGCCCCUGACCGGGGUUGCGGACAGUGUCUGGUGGGUAGUUUGACUGGGGCGGUCUCCUCCCAAAGCGUAACGGAGGAGCACGAAGGUUAGCUAAUCCUGGUCGGACAUCAGGAGGUUAGUGCAAUGGCAUAAGCUAGCUUGACUGCGAGCGUGACGGCGCGAGCAGGUGCGAAAGCAGGUCAUAGUGAUCCGGUGGUUCUGAAUGGAAGGGCCAUCGCUCAACGGAUAAAAGGUACUCCGGGGAUAACAGGCUGAUACCGCCCAAGAGUUCAUAUCGACGGCGGUGUUUGGCACCUCGAUGUCGGCUCAUCACAUCCUGGGGCUGAAGUAGGUCCCAAGGGUAUGGCUGUUCGCCAUUUAAAGUGGUACGCGAGCUGGGUUUAGAACGUCGUGAGACAGUUCGGUCCCUAUCUGCCGUGGGCGCUGGAGAAUUGAGGGGGGCUGCUCCUAGUACGAGAGGACCGGAGUGGACGCAUCACUGGUGUUCGGGUUGUCAUGCCAAUGGCACUGCCCGGUAGCUAAAUGCGGAAGAGAUAAGUGCUGAAAGCAUCUAAGCACGAAACUUGCCCCGAGAUGAGUUCUCCCUGAGACUUUAAGUCUCCUGAAGGAACGUUAAAGACGAUGACGUUGAUAGGCCGGGUGUGUAAGCGCAGCGAUGCGUUGAGCUAACCGGUACUAAUGAACCGUGAGGCUUAACCUU
rnacentral:rRNA from 1 species